UUCCGGUUGAUCCUGCCGGACCUGACUGCUAUCGGAUUAAUACUAAGCCAUGCGAGUUUUUGUAGUAAUACAAGGCAUACGGCUCAGUAACACGUAGUCAACCUACCCUAUGGACGAGGAUAAUCUCGGGAAACUGAGCAUAAUACUCGAUAGAUCAUAAUGCCUGGAAUGGUUUAUGGUUGAAAUGAUUCGUUCGCCAUAGGAUGGGACUGCGGCCUAUCAGCUUGUUGGUGGGGUAAUGGCCCACCAAGGCGAUUACAGGUACGGGCUCUGAGAGGAGAAGCCCGGAGAUGGGUACUGAGACACGGACCCAGGCCCUAUGGGGCGCAGCAGGCGAGAAAACUUUGCAAUGUGCGAAAGCACGACAAGGUUAGUCCGAGUGAUUUCUGCUAAAGAGAUCUUUUGCUAGUUAUAAAACCACUAGUGAAUAAGGGGUGGGCAAGUUCUGGUGUCAGCCGCCGCGGUAAAACCAGCACCUCAAGUGGUCAGGAUGAUUAUUGGGCCUAAAGCAUCCGUAGCCGGCUCUGUAAGUUUUCGGUUAAAUCUAUACGCUCAACGUAUGGGCUGCCGAAAAUACUGUAGAGAUAGGGAGUGGGAGAGGUAGACGGUACUCGGUAGGAAGGGGUAAAAUCCUUUGAUCUAUUGAUGACCACCUGUGGCGAAGGCGGUCUACCAGAACACGUUCGACGGUGAGGGAUGAAAGCUGGGGGAGCAAACCGGAUUAGAUACCCGGGUAGUCCCAGCUGUAAACGAUGCAGACUCGAUGAUGCAUUGGCAUAUAGCCAGUGCA
rnacentral:rRNA from 2 species